rnacentral:rRNA from 1 species
AACGAACGCUGGCGGCAGGCUUAACACAUGCAAGUCGAACGCAUCCUUCGGGGUGAGUGGCAGACGGGUGAGUAACGCGUGGGAACGUGCCCUUCAGUUCGGGAUAACCCAGGGAAACUUGGGCUAAUACCGGAUACGUGCGAGAGCAGAAAGAUUUAUCGCUGAAGGAUCGGCCCGCGUCUGAUUAGCUAGUUGGUGGGGUAAUGGCCCACCAAGGCGACGAUCAGUAGCUGGUCUGGGAGGAUGAUCAGCCACAUUGGGACUGGAACACGGCCCAAACUCCUACGGGAGGCAGCAGUGGGGAAUAUUGGACGAUGGGGGCAAGCCUGAUCCAGCCAUGCCGCGUGAGUGAUGAAGGCCUUAGGGUUGUAAAGCUCUUUCGUCCGGGACGAUAAUGACGGUACCGGAAGAAGAAGCCCCGGCUAACUUCGUGCCAGCCGCCGCGGUAA